rfam:Clostridium sp. CAG:127 genomic scaffold, scf56
UAUGUUUGAGACUUAGAAGUUCUUAAUAUUCUGCAAGAACACCAGCCAUGUUUGAACACGAUGUUCAAACAAGUCGCCAGUGAGCCAGGGACGGCGAAUUGGCGACGGUGGCGUAAAAUAUGAGCACGUAAAUCAGAAUAUUUAGAACUUCUUAGUUUCAAUACAU